UUUAGUCAAGUGUGUGAGUAAUUAGUCCAUAUUGUUGUUUAGUAACUUGACUAAACAACAAUAUGGACUAAUUACUCACACAAUGGACUAAACAC
rnacentral:pre_miRNA from 1 species